rnacentral:rRNA from 1 species
GGCGGACGGGUGAGUAACGCGUAGGAAUCUGCCCAUUAGUGGGGGACAACCCGGAGAAAUCCGGGCUAAUACCGCAUACGCCCUACGGGGGAAAGGAGGGGAUCUCUUCGGAGACCUUCCGCUAUUGGAUGAGCCUGCGUCGGAUUAGCUUGUUGGUGGGGUAACGGCCUACCAAGGCGACGAUCCGUAGCUGGUCUGAGAGGACGAUCAGCCACACUGGGACUGAGACACGGCCCAG